rnacentral:rRNA from 1 species
AAUCAACGCUGGCGGCGUGCCUCAGACAUGCAAGUCGAACGCGAAAGUUCCCUUCGGGGAGCGAGUAGAGUGGCGCACGGGUGAGCAACACGUAGGUAAUUUGCCUUUGGGUGGGGAAUAACUCAGGGAAACUUGAGCUAAUACCGCAUAAUGCAGCGGCUCGACAUCGAGACAGUUGUUAAAGCGGGGGAGUUGGAGCAAUCCGACCUCGCGCCUAAAGAGAAGCCUGCGGCAGAUUAGCUAGUUGGUAAGGUAAUGGCUUACCAAGGCGACGAUCUGUAACCGGCCUGAGAGGGCGGUCGGUCACACUGACACUGACAUACGGGUCAGACUCCUACGGGA